rnacentral:rRNA from 1 species
GGUUUGGUUGACCGGUCCGCCUCACCGGCGUGUUUACUGGCUUCAGCCGAACCUUUCCUUCUGGCUAACCGCAUGCCCUUCACUGGGUGUGUUUUUGGGGAACCAGGACUUUUACUUUGAAAAAAUUAGAGUGUUUAAAGCAGGCUCACGCUUGAAUACAUUAGCAUGGAAUAACGAAAU